GAUAGCUGUGCUCUGAGGAAAU
rnacentral:miRNA from 14 species